rnacentral:rRNA from 1 species
AGUUCUUAAAGGGUAGAGUGUUACAUGCAGUCGAGCGAGGCUCUUCGGACCCUAGCGGCGGACGGGUGAGUAACACGUAGGCAACCUGCCUCUCAGACUGGGAUAACAUAGGGAAACUUAUGCUAAUACCGGAUAGGUUUUUGGAUCGCAUGAUCCAAAAAGGAAAGAUGGCUUCGGCUAUCACUGGGAGAUGGGCCUGCGGCGCAUUAGCUAGUUGGUGGGGUAACGGCCUACCAAGGCGACGAUGCGUAGCCGACCUGAGAGGGUGACCGGCCACACUGGGACUGAGACACGGCCCAGACUCCUACGGGAGGCAGCAGUAGGGAAUUUUCCACAAUGGACGAAAGUCUGAUGGAGCAACGCCGCGUGAACGAUGAAGGUCUUCGGAUUGUAAAGUUCUGUUGUCAGGGACGAACAAGUACCGUUCGAACAGGGCGGUACCUUGACGGUACCUGACGAGAAAGCCACGGCUAACUACGUGCCAGCAGCCGCGGUAAUACGUAGGUGGCAAGCGUUGUCCGGAUUUAUUGGGCGUAAAGCGCGCGCAGGCGGCUAUGUAAGUCUGGUGUUAAAGCCCGGGGCUCAACCCCGGUUCGCAUCGGAAACUGUGUAGCUUGAGUGCAGAAGAGGAAAGCGGUAUUCCACGUGUAGCGGUGAAAUGCGUAGAGAUGUGGAGGAACACCAGUGGCGAAGGCGGCUUUCUGGUCUGUAACUGACGCUGAGGCGCGAAAGCGUGGGGAGCAAACAGGAUUAGAUACCCAGUUCUUAAAGGGUAGAGUGUUACAUGCAGUCGAGCGAGGCUCUUCGGACCCUAGCGGCGGACGGGUGAGUAACACGUAGGCAACCUGCCUCUCAGACUGGGAUAACAUAGGGAAACUUAUGCUAAUACCGGAUAGGUUUUUGGAUCGCAUGAUCCAAAAAGGAAAGAUGGCUUCGGCUAUCACUGGGAGAUGGGCCUGCGGCGCAUUAGCUAGUUGGUGGGGUAACGGCCUACCAAGGCGACGAUGCGUAGCCGACCUGAGAGGGUGACCGGCCACACUGGGACUGAGACACGGCCCAGACUCCUACGGGAGGCAGCAGUAGGGAAUUUUCCACAAUGGACGAAAGUCUGAUGGAGCAACGCCGCGUGAACGAUGAAGGUCUUCGGAUUGUAAAGUUCUGUUGUCAGGGACGAACAAGUACCGUUCGAACAGGGCGGUACCUUGACGGUACCUGACGAGAAAGCCACGGCUAACUACGUGCCAGCAGCCGCGGUAAUACGUAGGUGGCAAGCGUUGUCCGGAUUUAUUGGGCGUAAAGCGCGCGCAGGCGGCUAUGUAAGUCUGGUGUUAAAGCCCGGGGCUCAACCCCGGUUCGCAUCGGAAACUGUGUAGCUUGAGUGCAGAAGAGGAAAGCGGUAUUCCACGUGUAGCGGUGAAAUGCGUAGAGAUGUGGAGGAACACCAGUGGCGAAGGCGGCUUUCUGGUCUGUAACUGACGCUGAGGCGCGAAAGCGUGGGGAGCAAACAGGAUUAGAUACCCAAUACGUUCCCGGGCCUUGUACACACCGCCCGUCACACCACGGGAGUUUGCAACACCCGAAGUCGGUGAGGUAACCGCAAGGAGCCAGCCGCCGAAGGUGGGGUAGAUGACUGGGGUGAAGUCGUACAAGGGUUAACCGAGUUGCCAGCAUUCAGUUGGGCACUCUAGAGAGACUGCCGUCGACAAGACGGAGGAAGGCGGGGAUGACGUCAAAUCAUCAUGCCCCUUAUGACCUGGGCUACACACGUGCUACAAUGGUUGGUACAACGGGAUGCUACCUCGCGAGAGGACGCCGAUCUCUUAAAACCAAUCUCAGUUCGGAUUGUAGGCUGCAACUCGCCUACAUGAAGUCGGAAUCGCUAGUAAUCGCGGAUCAGCAUGCCGCGGUGAAUACAUUCCCGGGCCUUGUACACACCGCCCGUCACACCACGGAGUUUGCAACACCCGAAGUCGUGAGGUAACCGCAGGGACCAGCCGCCCAAAGUGGGGUAGAUGACUGGGGUGAAUUCUACAAAGGUAGCCGG